GUGCGCAAGUUGUUUACCAUGGCCUUCUGUGGUGUUGUACAACCUUAAGUCUCUGCCGUUGUUUUUGAUCAAAUUUUUGACCGCUCAGGACCGUCAGAAGAAUCCUUAUGGAGAGAUUUACAGACAGCCGUGAGAAUUUUGUGUCCCAAGCUUUUCGCUCCACCAACAGCCCUGAGGUCGGGGGUUCGAACAGCAUUUCACUGUGUGAGAACGGACCCCUCGGCCAGGAUCCGCCAGUUUGCCCACCACCUCCAGGAGAAGGAGAGCUGUGGCUGAAGGGUGCCGGCCUGAGGGAGAGGAGGCAAAGCCCAGAAAGAGACUGGCAGGACCAGUUCCAGCGCCCGGCCGUUCCUCCGACUCACGGGGCCCGGUGGGCGGGGUCUACUGUAGGACUUGCUAUUGGCCUGGGUGACAGGAAGAAUGGAGAGGAUCAGGGCCCCAGGAAGCCAAUUGUUGGGGGCUACCUGCGCACCCCGGCUACAGGGGAUGCGCAGGGCUGGGAUGGAACCUUGGGAAGCCCCAAUGUUCCCCGAGAACUUCCACUCUCUGCUCCAACCGCAAACGAAAGCGGGGAACCCAGGCUUGUGGGGAAGCGAGGGGCCUGGGGAAGGUGACCCCGAUCCCGGUAGCCUGGAAAGCUACAUACCAGUUGGAAUUGGAAUCAAAAGGCUCAUGAAAACUGA